GCUGCCUAGUAGGUGGUGGAUGGGGAUUCAAAUCCAACGGUGACUCCAGUGCUUCUGCCACUCACCCUUUGAGUGUGCUGACUUCCGGGGGUGUUCUGUUCUCAGAAAAAAGCAAGUCUUGCAGUUUGGUGGGAGAGAGUAUGCAGUCACCAACAUGGCAUGAAUUUAGGAGUGAAUAAACGAAAGAAAAGAAAAAAACCUAUUAUUUAGAGUGCUAUGAAUGGUGUAAGCAAGCCUCUUUUGAGAGAGAAGAGCUUCACGGAGAAGCAGAUUUUGCUGGUGGUGAAACAGGGGAAGGUCAUUCCUGGCAGAGGGAGCAGGUGAGCCCAGACAGGCCUGAUAGAAGUCAGUCUGACUCUUCCUUGACCACUUUAAGCCCCAGUAGCCGGCCCAGAUCCUCCCACGAUUCUUGCUGCCUCCCGAACUGCAGUGUGAGCAAAUGAGAUAAGUACAAAAUAUUCCUACACCACUGGCUCCAUGCUCUCCUCAUAUUCAAUCAUGAAGACUAAUGAACCAGAGAUGAUUACGGUGGUAAAAAUCCAAAUGCAGAUUUUUGCUGUCCUUACUAAUGAGAGAAAAAUAUAGUAGACCAUUGGCCUAAAGGCUCCAGAUGCGAUUCCUUUGUAACUUAGAGUGCAUUAAAAAAGCUUCAGUCAGCAAGAUAAGUUAAUUUUUUUAUGACCUUUAUAAACUCUUUUAGCCUGUAUCUCGGGAGCUUCUUAAAGAUUAAAUUUUAAAAAAUCCUUUUAGCUCAGGCCAACACAGCAUCUGAGUCUUUUUUGCUUCCAAGGCUACAUCCAAAAUCUAUAAAAAAAUUCUGUUCAUGACAAUUAUUGUCAAAGUAAUGAUUAGCUAACAUGUCAUUUUUAGUUUUUACUGUUCUUGCCUCUAUGAGACUAAUCCAAUAAAGCUCACAUCUUCUUAAUGUAAAAGUUGCAUGAAGGAUGCAUUAUUCCCGUUGACUUUGCCUACAUUUGCAAAUUCUUGAAAAAGCAAAUUGAAUUGUCACUAGUGGCACCUCUUUCACAGGAUGAUUGUUGGGUCAAAGUGAGAGUGUAGGGGACAAAUAUCAAGAUUUUUGUUAAAAGAAAAAAAUCCCUACCUAAGAACUGUAAAGCUGUAUUAAUAUAUAAUUGAGGCCAUGGACUUUAGUAGACCAUAAGGCACAGCUACCCAAGGUGAUGGGUAUAAUUUUGCAGGGGGAGGAAUGUCGGAGGAAUGUGAAGGGCUCUUCAUUGAUGGCAUCACAAAUUUAAUUUAUUAUGUGAAACAUGUAGUUUCUUCUCACCUCUUUGGUUGUAGGAUAACUGCUCCUUUUAAACACUGUGCUUUUGACUGGCUUGAUUGGUAACUACAAAAGUCAUCAUCCUAGGCAUCUGUCACUACUUCUAUUACAUCCAACCUACUGACCCAGAAAAUCUGUGGUUGACACAAUUGAUUUCUCUAAAAGAUUCAUUCAGCAUUUAUUUUAUUUUUGACAUCCACCUACAAGGUCCCACAGAAAUUUAGUACCUACAUCUCUGUGUAAGAGAAACACAGCCCUUUAUAAAAAGUGCAUAUCCUGAAGUGAGGAGCUGGAACAAAGCAGGAGUCUUGCUUAGAAUGAUUCACUGAAGUAACUGGAUUUAUUAAGAUGUAUGUGAGCUUUGGUGACUAUGCCACUGAAGACAUUUGUGCUCACCUCGUGAGAGGCUGCCACUGGAAAUAACAAC
rnacentral:lncRNA from 10 species